UUCCUUUUUUCAAGGAAGGCGGUAUGGUC
rnacentral:piRNA from 1 species